rnacentral:rRNA from 1 species
UACGGAAGGCAGCAGUGGGGAAUAUUGCACAAUGGGCGAAAGCCUGAUGCAGCUAUGCCGCGUGUAUGAAGAAGGCCUUAGGGUUGUAAAGUACUUUCAUCGGGGAGGAAAAACAAAACUAAUAAUUUUAUUUCUUGACGUUACCCGAAAAAGAAGCACCGGCUAACUCCGUGCCAGCAGCCGCGGUAAUACGGAGGGUGCUAGCGUUAAUCAGAAUUACUGGGCGUAAAGAGCACGUAGGUGGUUUUUUUAAGUCAGAUGUGAAUCCCUGGGCUUAACCUGGAACUGCAUUUUGAAACUGAAAUACUAGAGUAUCGUAGAGGGAGGUAGAAUUCUAGGUGUAGCGGUGAAAUGCGUAGAUAUCUGGAGGAAUACCUGUGGCGAAAGCGGCCUCCUAAACGAAUACUGACACUGAGGUGCGAAAGCGUGGGGAGCAAACGAGGAUUAGAUA